AAUAUCUCGUCAUGGACUGUGCCCCGCUCGAGCCUCUCCACAUGCAGCAGGAAGGAAAGUGGAGGGAGCUGCUCCUUUCCGUAGCCGGGGUGCCCACCCCAACCAGGCUGCCUCUGCCACCCAAGACAGAGGUUCUCUGAUAAUAAUUUGUGGGGCUUGUUUCCAGAGACCACACCUGAAGCUGCCAACUCCCCGGAGGGAAGGUCCUGAUUAAUGGCCGAUGAAUUUCUCCUUAAGGCCCUGAAACUGCCUACUCAGAACCAAGCCAGUUUUUCCUGCCUGUCCUGUUUGGGCAGGCAGAGGAGGCAGCUAGAAACCCAUUAUGCAGGGGAUGGGGACCAAACCAAUGCACAACUCCUACGUACUGAUGGUGGUCUUACGUUUCCCUAAGUUUCUGCCGACUAAACUGUGCACACGUUCUCAGGACCUCCUGAAGCUGCGUCACAGGCGCUGAUCAAAGAACACAACCAAGAGUUUGGCCUUUUCUUCAGCACUGGGAAUUGUGAUCCAAAGCUUUUCCUGAUGAGGCACAAAGUUGGAGAAACAAAACGCAAACUAAGCAACAAUGAAACAGAACAGAGUGAAUCUGCUGUAGCUCAAGAGAGGACGUAGCUGCCCCCACCCCGCAUCCCUGGGCUCGGGUUUGCCUUGCUGACCUCUGCUGCCACCUGGUGCC
rnacentral:lncRNA from 10 species